UCAAACUUGGUCAUUUAGAGGAAGUAAAAGUCGUAACAAGGUCUCCGUAGGUGAACCUGCGGAGGGAUCAUUACCGAGCGAGGGCCACUGGUCCGACCUCCAACCCUUUGAUUACCAUUUCUUGUUGCCUCGGGGGUGACCCGGCCUCUUCGGACCGGGGCCCCCGGCGGACCACAUACCCUGCGUCAUUGCGUCGGUUGAUACGAUAAAUGAAUUAAAACUUUCAACAACGGAUCUCUUGGUUCUGGCAUCGAUGAAGAACGCAGC
rnacentral:misc_RNA from 1 species